AGGGAACCCAAAUUUGAAUGUGGCAUAAUAUUCUUGUAUCUCACAAGCUGUUUGCAAGGAGGACAUCAUGAACGCUUCAAACGUGUGUCUCUUAUCGGUGGCCGUGAUUUGUAUGGUGCUAGCUUGGAGUGAACCUUCCAAUGCCUGUGGACUGUGUACAUGUACAAACGGAGUUCUCAUGUCGUGCCCAAACAAUGCCAAAAUUUCUUUGCGCUAUAAGCAUUUGACGAAUCUCAGUGGCUCAGCAUUUCAGAAUAACAAGAACGUUACGUAUAU